rnacentral:rRNA from 1 species
UACGAAGGGGGCGAGCGUUGUUCGGAAUCACUGGGCGUAAAGGGCGCGUAGGCGGCCCUUCUUGUCGCGUGUGAAAGCCCCGGGCUCAACCUGGGAACUGCAUUUGAUACGGGCGAGCUUGAAUCCAAGAGAGGGUGGUGGAAUUCCCAGUGUAGAGGUGAAAUUCGUAGAUAUUGGGAAGAACACCAGUGGCGAAGGCGGCCACCUGGCUUGGUAUUGACGCUGAGGCGCGAAAGCGUGGGGAGCAAACAGG